CUAUUGUUAGGUCUGACAUCACAUUACAUGUGUGAUCUAAACAAUGUGGGGCUUGCUGGCAGUGAAGCCCCCCAGGAAACGUUCUAGUCUUGUGGAGCCAGAAUCUGCAAUGGUCACAUUCCCUACAUUACUAAAGAAAAGACUCAUCUCUGUAUUGAAGUGGGUACAGUGCUCAAGUGUCCAUGACAUAACCCAGGAUGGUUGUGAGAGUCUUGGGAUGCAAAACUGAAGAUGGGAGAAGAAAAAAGAAGAAAAGGAAAAAGAAACAAGAGCUGAGAUAAGGAUCAUGGUCAUGAAAUAGAGGGCUCCCUGUGGAUUGUGCCUUUUUUCUUUUUUUUUAAGAAAUGAACUUGAAUUCUUCAUCACCAACUGCCUUCUUGACAUCUCUACCUGCAUGUCCUAGUGGCAUCUCUAGUUCAAAUUCAAGUUCAGUACAGAACUGGACUCAUUAUAUUUCCCCCCAUAUUUCUUCCAGAUUUCUCUGUUUCUAUGGAGAAUGAUUCCAUCGUUCCAGUAGUCCGAGUUUAAAAUCUUGGCAUUGACCUAUGACUCUCUUCUCUCCUUUACCCUAAUUCCCACCCCCAAUCAUAUGUCCAACAAUUUUUCAAGUCUUGUCUCCUAACUAAUUUUCUGUUAUCAAGUUGUCUGUAGUAAUAUAUCCUUAUUAAUCCAGUGGUAUCUUCUGCCUCCCCAUAUGUCACAUCUGUCCCUUUCUCUUGUCUCACACAGUCCCUCCUCUGAUGCAGGUCUCUUUUACCACUUGCCUAGAC
rnacentral:lncRNA from 1 species